rfam:Brachypodium distachyon strain Bd21 chromosome 1, whole genome shotgun sequence.
AACAUUGAAUCUCCGUCCAACAAAAGAUGUCUCAAGUUUGUCAAAAUUUGGAUGUAUCUAGAUCCUAGACAUGACUUAGUGUAUAGAUGCAUUCAAAUUUAAUCAAAAUUGAGACAUCUUUUGUUAGACGGAGAAAGUAC